rnacentral:rRNA from 1 species
GACGAACGCUGGCGGCGUGCCUAAUACAUGCAAGUCGAACGGUCUUUUUUAUGGAAGCUUGCUUCCACAUGAAAAGAUAGUGGCGAACGGGUGAGUAACACCUGGGUAACCUGCCCAUAAGAGGGGGAUAACAUCCGGAAACGGGUGCUAAUACCGCAUAGUUUUUCUGAUCGCAUGAUCGGGAAAGGAAAGACGGCCUUUGUGCUGUCGCUUAUGGAUGGACCCGCGGCGUAUUAGUUAGUUGGUGAGGUAACGGCUCACCAAGACGAUGAUACGUAGUCGACCUGAGAGGGUGAUCGGCCACAUUGGGACUGAGACACGGCCCAAACUCCUACGGGAGGCAGCAGUAGGGAAUCUUCCGCAAUGGACGAAAGUAUGACGGAGCAACGCCGCGUGAGUGAAGAAGGU